CAAUGCUCUUCCAACUGAGCUACGCGGUCAGGACGGUUCGAGUAAGCGAUAUUUCGGAACUGAGUCUAGUUCCUUCGAUAUCAGUGUAAUCUAAUAUUUAUGAAAUCUGCUGUGUUAUUGGUGUAAUGUACUCAGGUGAAUAAGAUGUUUGUGUGAUGUUACUCUGAGUGUAUAUCCACACCGGGCAGGCUUGAAAAAUAUGCCUGGCCACGGCGGGAUUCGAACCUACGACCUUUGGAAUACUAGCCCAAUGCUCUUCCAACUGAGCUACGCGGUCAGGACGGUUCGAGUAAGCGAUAUUUCGGAACUGAGUCUAGUUCCUUCGAUAUCAGUGUAAUCUAAUAUUUAUGAAAUCUGCUGCGUUGGUGUAAUGUACUCAGGUGAAUAAGAUGUUUGUGUGAUGUUACUCUGAGUGUAUAUCCACACCGGGCAGGCCUGAAAAAUAUGCCUGGCCACGGCGGGAUUCGAACCUACGACCUUUGGAAUACUAGCCCAAUGCUCUUCCAACUGAGCUACGCGGUCAGGACGGUUCGAGUAAGCGAUAUUUCGG